rnacentral:SRP_RNA from 1 species
GCUGGGCGUGGUGGUGCACGCCUGUAGUCCCAACUACUUGGGAGGCUGAGGUGGGAGGAUUGCUUGAGCCCAGGAGAUCAAGACUGCAGUGAGCUGCCACUGCACUCCAGCCUGGGUGACGUAGUGAGACACCAUCUCAA